GGCUUUGAAGUGUUAUCACGUUGGAUUGCAAAUCCGAAGAAGUCGGCUAGUAACCGACCGGGGCCU
rnacentral:tRNA from 1 species